AUUGUCCAGGAAAGAAAAGAAAGAAAGAAAGAAAACUGUCCACCCUUUUCAGAAACCACUGAUUUUCCAUUGUAAAGAAAGAAUUAAAAAAAACAAACAGAAGUUCCUUGCUUGCUCUUUGAUUUGGGAGGAAGAAAAUCUGCCCUGAGCAUCCAUUGUUCCUGCGUGGGUGAUGAAGCGUUCGUUAUGGGAGGUUUGGUCACUCUGCCACUCACUUGCAAGGUGCUGGGAGGCUGCUCUGCAUUCAGCAAUGCUGCAGUACCUCGUGGCUCGAGGUGUGCUUGAUGAACAAAGUUGAACUGGAAUCUUUGAGCAGGAAUCCUUCCAAGCCCAAACACUGGAGAACUGAAGAGUGAAGCGGGAUGUACAUACCUGUGAGCUCCCAGGCUCCUUUGCCUGGCAGACACUGCAGCAAGAUCCAGCAUGGGUGAGAUCUCUCCUAGCUGGCUGAAACUGAUCUGUAUCUGCACAGCUGCUGAAGGUCUAAACCCACUCUAUACCUUUACACUCAUACCCGCUUCAGCAUGACUUCAUGCCACCUAACUAACCCUACAGAAACAAUAGGGUGGUUUCUUUUCAGAUGGCUCAGGUCUGCAAGACAGCUGAGUGCAGGGAGGAGGCAGUGAAGUCUAGUUAAGGUAGCUGGUAUCUCUCAGCACAAGUCCAGUGCUCUGCAUCUUGGGACUAAGCGCUGCUGCUUGCUCCUGAGCCAACAGAUCCUGACUGGCUUCACUAGCUAAAGAGCAGCAUUUUGCUGCACAAGCCACCAUGUCAGCUUUACAGUCAUGGUAAUUUCUCCGUGGCAGGCAGAGGAGCUAGCCCUCAGUGAGGCAUGUGGUCAUGUUAUGCUUCGAACAUAAGCUGAUUUUGCUUUGGAAGUGAGAUACCGCGUUUCUUGGCACCCACACACUGAGCAUUCUCUCCUCUCACACACAUGCAGACAGUAUUCGGCUUUGAAUCCUCUGUGUUGAGAAUAGCGAUAGUCCAUUUUUUUCCCCCCAGAUUUGUUCACCGUGGGUGAUCAGCCAUUUCCAGCUUCUUCAGAGACAAAACCUUUCUCUGCUUUAAUCUUUGAGGGCUGUAGAAGUGACAAUGCAAUGAAAGAUGGGAAUGAAAUUCUCUGCCAGCCUUCAUGCAAUUACUAAGCACUACAUUCAGAAGCUUUACUUCGACAAUAUAUGAAUAAAGGCAGAAACAGCAUUUCACUGCAGAUUAUCUAUCCCACCUGGGUCAGGACAGGAGGUCGUGAUGCACAAUGCCAAAAAGAGCAUGGCCUGACUUUGAGCCAGGCUGGAGUUUCAGAGUUGGCAGCUAAAAUCUCAUUUCGCCACAGGUGGGAGAACAUUUCAUGGGAAGAGAGGAGACCUGAUGCACAAUGAAAGUGGGUGUUCACCUCACAGCUGUGUGGCAGCCCUGCCCAUGGCAGGGGAUUGCAGCUCGAUGAUCUUUAAGGUCCCUUCCAACUUAAACCAUUCCAUGAUUCUAUGAUUCCGGAGAGAAUAUUUGUUUGCAUUGCCUGAGCAAGUAACAUUUGCAGAAUAGAGGCCUCUUUUACAGUGAUGGACGAAGGCUAGCAAGGUGACUGCUUCAGGAAGCUGCUGUUGCUGGACCAUUUUGCAGUUAUGGACUGAUUUGUGCUGGUAUUUGACUGAGAAGACGGGAGAAUGGUGGAAAGCAGGGACACAACUUUGAUGCUUAUGCUGGAAUGAAGAGAUCCUUGUGUCGUAUCCAUCAUAGCGUAUGUACAAUAGUGGUGGCCAUUCUUAUUCAGCUCUAUAUGAACAAUUCUCUGCUGGCUAAUUCACCAGCUGUGGGCUAACUGGCAGCUUCUGGGGCUUACAUGAACAAUGGUGCAUAGUGUGCGUAUUCCAUAGGAUAAAAAAAAAAAUAAUCCUGCUUUGUCUCAGGCACAACUAGUGAUUUGACUUUGUUUUUUCCACAUCAUAGUGCUAUACAGUAUCUGAACACCAUUCUAAAAGCUGAAACUCUGUUCUCUACAAGAAGCUUGUGGAGGUGUCCCUGCCUAUAGCAGAGGGUUGGAACUAGAUGGUCUUAAAGGUUCCUUCCAACCCAAACCAUUCUAUGAUUCUGUGAUUCUAAGCUAAAUGCUUAAAGGCAUCCCCUGGCCAGCCAUCAUCCUGAAUCAAUAUUGGAAGACAGAAGUAAUUCAUUGAAAUAUUGUUCAUGAAUUAGAGUGUGGCCUGGACCACAACAGCGUGGUCUCUGAAAGCACGCGUUUAUUUCUGUUUGGUUACUGAAGGAUAUGUGAAAAGGCUAGAGACAAGCUUAGAAGGUGGUUCAAGAGGAAAGCUGCUUGCUGGUGUAAACGCAUUAAUUAUUGAGACAAAUUUAGCUGGUUGGAGCACUGCAUAAAUCAGCACACGGUCUGAAACUUUUAUGGAAAUAAUUGCAUGUGCCUUUGCAGAUGUCUAAUUUCUAAGAGCCAGAGCUUUGGAGCUAGCAAACACA